UACGAAAUGAGAAAUAUCCGGAUGAGUUUACGAAACCCCUAAAACGCAGCUUGAAACGGAGAUCCCAAGACUCUCAAGACGGGAUAUUAUUCUACAAAGGGAAAAAGAAGGAAUCUCAACUUCGACGAUGGAUGACGGAUCCUAAGCAAGCAACAGAUAUUAGAAACAUGUCAUUCAAGUCAAUUAGCUGGACAUUUUGGUCGCGACAAGACAAGAGAGAAGGUAUUACUGGUCAUCCGUUUCUGAAGACUGUGCUGAGUUUGUAAGAACCUGCGACAUAUGUCAGCGCAAUAACAAACAUUUCAAAAAGUCGUCCACUCUACAUCCUAUUCCAGUCCAGAACAAAGUAUGGCAUCGCAUUGGAAUUGACCUUAUUGGACCUUUACCCGAAACUCCUCAAGGUAACAAGUAUCUCAUGACAUGCACCGACAGCUUCAGCAAAUGGCCAGAAGCGAAACCAUUAAAGGAUAAAGCGGCUAUUGGUGUGGCAGAUUUUCUCAACGAAUUACUGACACGAUAUGGAGUGGCUGAAGUUAUAAUCUACCACGUCCACACGAUACCGGAAGAAAAUGAAAACACAAGAAUAUUAAUUCUCACAGUUACACGUACCGUCCACAUGUAUGCGGCGUUUUCGCCUACUGAAAACGGAAGAAUUUGAAAACGCAAGAAUAUUCCCACAGUUACACGUACCAUCCACAUGUAUGCGGCGUUUUCGCCCACUGAAAAGGGGGAGGAUCUAAAAACGCAAGAAUAUUCACAUGGACUUUCAAAACAUGGGGGACACUAUUCGCGGGUGGACAUUAUCCGCUGUAAUACCGGCACGGGGUCUUAGCGGCCAUGAGCAAAGUUAUACGAUAUUGACUGGAUGUUCAAGACAAAAACAUCGUUUGCAAAAGUAAUAUAGACAGUAAAAAACUCGUGUUAAAAAAACGUCACUUCACUUGCCCACCAAAGCCAUGCACUUUGGUAUUAAAUUGUAGAUAAAAUCAGGAAUAACGUUUUCAAAAAAACAUGCAUAUCUCAUUGCAUGUAUUAUACAAAAUGACAGCUAUAUAUUGCCUGGAACACAGUAAAAACCAUGCUUUCCAGGUUUGCUGCAUUUGAAAAAGAUCGGAAUUAAAGCUUCCGAGUUCAAAUGUGACAAGCCAAUGCAUAGUUCUUAUUUUUUAUUUCUUGUUCGAUUUUUUUAUUUUGGCCGGUUUGAUUUACAAAGAUUGUUGAAAAUAACAAUGCAUGGGACUUCGAUGGGAAAAUGUACCUUCUAUACCAAUAACGACAUUCAAAUUCCAAACAACAUGCAGUGUUAAGGAUAAAGAAGAAUCCCAACACAUUCCAUGAUACAAAUGCUGAAGUAGCAAUAUUAAGUAUUCCUGGCUUUUGUUUAACUUUUGUUUAAUAUUUAUCGUUAUAUGCCUGCAAAAUAGUCAUUAUUCUACGGACUAACUACAGACUAACUUUGACAAGUUUUCCUUGACAAGGGGCCUUAUGUUCAAAAGCUAGUCAUGCCAGCUUUUCAAGUAUUCCUACUGCUGGGCAACAAUAUCCUCGAGCCAAUUGAGCGGUAUUUGCAUGGAAGUUUUAUCAUCUCCGUUUGUUUUGAGAUUCGAUCGUAUACUCGUUUUAUCAUUAUUGUCGUAAACAUACUUGACAUAUAUUAUCGUAAAACUUGUCUAGAAAACUGACUUGUCAAUGAAAAAUUGUCCGCCAUAAACAUGAGCGAAAUUAAGUGAAAUUGAUCAAGAAAGCUUGUCAAGGAAAACUUGUCCGUCUGUACGGGGCGGAAUAAAGGAUCCC
rnacentral:lncRNA from 1 species